ensembl:lncRNA
CUCUGUCUUCAGGAGCUGAGGUGGAGGAUCAGUGUCUGGAGGCUUUGAUGUCUCCAUGUGUCCCAGUGAGCAGUGCUUAUGUGGGCCUUUCUCCUGGUGGCUCUGUUAUUCUCAGGGGAAAAGAAGAAGAAAUACUAUCAGUGCACUCUUUGUCCCAUAGGCAUUACAACAUAAACAAGGGGUUGUUAGAAAAGUUCAGAGCCAGCUGUACUGCUCCUUUACAUCCCACUGAAGUGGUAUUGUUUCCCUGUGUCCAGCAGUGAGCACUCAGAGCUGAGCCUCUGGUGUCCCAGGCACUGAAUAAAGAUGGGAGAGACUUCCUUUGGAAGUGUAUUACAUCUGAGCAGCAGCACAUUAAGAUUCCUAAAUGCACAGGAUCUUGGUGCUGUGCCUGAAGUACCCAAGCUCUGCAUUAAGCAUUUGCAAGACAGAAUCAUAGAAUGGCCUGGGUUGAAAAGGACCACAAUGGUCAACUCGUUUCAACCCCCUGCUAUGUGCAGGGUCGCCAACCACCAGACCAGGCUGCCCAGAGCCACAUCCAGCCUGGCCCUGAAUGCCUCCAGGGAUGGGGCAUCCACAGCCUCCUUGGGCAACCUGUUCCCGUGCAUCACCACCCUCUGUGUGAAAAACUUCCUCCUAAUAUCCAACCUAAACCUCCUCUGUCUCAGUUUAAAACCAUUCCCUCUUGUCCUAUCACCAUCCAGUUGCAGAGCUGUGACCUGUGACAUCUGGCCACGACACCUUUGCAAACUCAGCCCCUCAGCCCACCAGGUUUCACAGGCUCCACUUUGCCAACUUCUAAACGAAUCCUUGCAGGGCUGAAGCAACUGUACUGAAGAAUUCAGUCCUCCCCAUCCCUUCUGCUAAGAGCUGUAUACUGUCUCCCUUCCAUUUGGGAGCUUUCUCUUUGCCAUUCACGUUGCUGUGCUGCAUCUCAGCAGACCUGAACUACAGGACACUGAGAAAUUUGGUGCACCCCAGCUUUGUACCCACCCCUGCAGCCCCAGCUGCCCCACAGCCAAGGCCCUCUGCCUCUUCCAGCCCCCUUAUGCAGAAACGAAGUUUCUGGAUGCUCUCGCUCCCUUUGGUCGCUCUGUGAGCACGAAGACCCGGCCGUUGCCUUUAGCCUGACCGACAGCCCCUUUGCUGGCUGGCUUUGCAGCAGAGGGCGCUGCGGACUGCGGAGCGGCUGCCCUCCGCUGGGGGCUCUGCCGGAGCCCUUCGCUGCUGCUCGGCUCCUCAGGACAAAAGUCAGACAAAACCACCCUUAUGCAGCAGCCGCGUGAUGGCCAUCCUGCAUCAACCCUGCCUGCUACAUCACAGCACUGACUAAAAUGAUGCCUGAACUACAGUAGGGCCAGAGAAGAGGACAAUGCCAGGCCCCAACCAAUUCCGGCUGGGCUCUCCUACCACAGCCACUGUACAUUCCAGAUUUGGCUCCUUCUGACUUCCACCUGUUCAGACCAACGAAAAAAGGACUUUGAGGGCAGCAUAUUCCCAGCACAGUGCUGUUGCUGUGAAACUGUGGGGUCACCUCCACAGGUGCAGAUAAUUACAAGAGUGGCACACAGGCUCUUGUCCAUCACUGGCAAAAAUGCAUGGCUAACAUGGUGGCUGCACUGAAAAACAGUGUUUUGUAGCUGAGAAUUCAUCAAGCAGCGUUAUUGCACUCUUUGUAGCUCUUGUAGUUUCCAUGGAAAUCACUAGAAGGCAUUACUUUCGGAGCAACCUACGUACAUCACCAUGAAGAGUGUCUCCCCACAAUCAAGUAUUGCCAGGAAUGACACAACACAAGAUCCUACCAGUUAUGACAGUAAAUUGGUGGGUCCUCUCAGGUGCCAUCCUCCUGCACAGAGCUCUGGGGACACUUCUACCUUUGUACAUCACCAUUUGAAAGCUUGGAAUAGAAAUCCAGAGGGAGAAUCCAGCUUGAAUCCCGCCAUAGACCAUCAUAUUUAAUGGAGAAGAGUAUGACUGUCAUCUAAGAGAAGAGGCUGAGAAAGGAUUUGCUGUUCUUACAAACGUGGUGCCUUCUGCAGAAGAGCAGUUGAGAAAAUAAACUACAUAAAGUAGAAAGAGAAUAACACGUCAAAAUCCAGGAACUCCAGCAGCCUAAACAUGCUGCUUAUCUGCCCGAGAGCCAGCCUGCUACCUCUUACACCCAUCCUUGUCCCAAGAAGGGAUGGGCUCUGAUGAUCCUCUGCCCAAUCUAUUGCUUAAGCAAAAUUAUCACAAGUGAGCAAUCAUAAUUACUGGCAAAGUGGGCUUGGAGGUGUGACAGCUAGAUAGAUGAGAUGGAAGAACCAGGAGUUGCACACAUCAAGGAAGUACCGGGCUGGAAGGAGGUUGCUCAAGGGUUUUCCCCUGAUCCUGGACUGAGUACUGUUCACUUUUUGUAGCUGGCCGUAGACUAAACGUGGGGACAGAGCUAAAGAAGUGACAAGGCAGCAAAAACUACAGAAAGGAACUGAUUGCUGUGUGAGAAGGAACAAAUGGCACCAAGUGCCGGGAGAAAUACCUCUGCCCUGCCUGCAGCUCUGCACAUCCAUGUACAAAUCCGCGCUGGGAACUCUGGCUUACCAAGCAGGGCUGUUGGAAAGCAGGAUCUGAAGGUAUUAGCCCUUAGGCUCAGCAAAAUGCCACCAAAUAACACAGCCAUGAAGAGAAAGGCACUUUCUAGGCAAAGUAUUUCCAGGAGAGAUAUGUGCUCCAGGAGUUACCAGCGCUCAUCCCAUGGAGUGAGCACCUGUCCCCACUCUGGGAUGCUGUUGGCAAUGGUGGGCAUUGGGUCCUACCAGCCAGGCUGCACAGCAGGGUUCUCUCCACCAGAACAAUUCCUGCCCAGCUCGUUCCUCAACACCAUCCUUAAUUGCUGGAGCCUCGCGGAGCGGCCUGCCUAAUGAAGGAAGAUAAUAAUUAGCCCAGUGUUUUCCCUGCCUUUGCUGUCAGUCCAUAGGUACUGACCUUUUAAACAUGUAUUUGGUGAAAAGCUGUUCUCGUGGGUUGUUGGAGAGGAGACAGGGAGGAGACCACAUAGUGCUUGUGGGUGGCUGCCUUCCCCUCCAAUUAGCAGCAUCGAUAACAAUCAAAUUAGAGUUAAAGCAGGAGCAGCAUAAUUGGAAGGCCAGCUUGCCAAAUGAAAAUUAUGCAAGAGUAGAGGAGGCUGGUGCUGUGCCAGCAGGAUGCACUGCUUGUUGGGCUGCAUCUGCAGGAGCAACUUUCAAGAAUAUUUGAGAGAUGAGAGGCUGCAAAGGUAUUUAGUGUUGUGUGUUGCUAUUGCUCUACCCCAAAGGAGGUGAUGCAAGUAAAGCCUGGCAAAAGAUUUUACGGGGCGUGCAAAAAAAUAAAGAGAAUGUAAUGUGGCAGAAAAACAAAGACUCAAAGUGCUAAAGGAUGAGGGACUGUCAUUUCUUAUCUAUUUUUAACAAUUCAGUAAGAAAAGGGAAGAUCCAUCACUAACCUGAAAGGCAGCGGAUCCAAAGGGAUGUCCGAAACCCAUCCACGGUGCAGAGGUGGGGUCAAAAAUUGCUGUGUGUUUUGGGAAGAGAAAGAACAACAGAGAACUUCAGUGCCAGUGCUAAUAAUAAGACAUGGUGACUCAGUGCCUGGGAAGGAGGCUGGGGGGGAGGAUGGAAAAUGAGCAAAAGUCGGGAUUUUUGGCAAAUGGAAAGACUGAGGCAUCCCGAUGAGGGCCCAAAUGUGGGAAGUUAUCUAAAAAUACACAAACAAAUAAACCCCCAUCUCUCUACAGGGAUGUAGAGAUGUGUAUCAGAGCUGUUCACAUUGGCAGCAGAGUCGAGGCCAAGGCUUGGGGGUAGAACACAACAGAGAUGUCUGGAGUCCCUGCUGAUGCAGAUCAGCUCACUGCUGGACCUGCCUUGUGUCUCCGUGCCCUUGGAUCCAUCGUGCUGGGCAAGCCUGGUGGAGGGAAAGGGGAAAGCAAAGAACACGUACCUGGCUGGGAUACUAUUUGGUAACUUAGGGCAGACAGGGGAUUUUUGGAGAGGAAGAAAUAUCACCCUCAACCAAAACUGCAUGCAAAUCCUGAAGCAGCCACUGCCUGAGCUGGGCACAGACAGUCCAACGUGAGGCCAGCAGAGCUGGAAAGGUCUUGAGAAGCCCAUCAGGAUUUGAAGGUGUUAGCAGAAAAGCAGCCCUAUGAAAAGACAGACGGUGGUUGCCUCUUUGUAGCCAAAUACUGAGAGAGGCAAUGCUCUGCUGAACCCAAGGCCCCAUCCCAUACACAGUGAUUGCCGAGCCCAAGGCCCAGGCAGCAGACUUCAACCUAACUUUGCUUUGCUUAAUGCAUACAGUUUGUCUCUGAGAACAAACAAUAGUAGUAAGGAGGUGGUCUUUACCAGCGUGAUGCGUUCGAGUUGACCUCAAUGACUCUGGAGCCUUCAAGAGAAGAACCACGUUACAUCCCAAAGCAUUGGGAGUGCCUGUGGGUCAGGAAGAGCCACUUUGCUACUUGAGCUGGGUUCAGCCCCCCAAUCAUCAUCAUAGAAUCACCAUAGAAUGGCCUGGGUUGAAAAGGACCACAGUGAUCAUCGAGUUUCAACCCCCCUGCUAUGUGCAGGGUCGCCAACAACCAGACCAGGCUGCCCAGAGCCACAUCCAGCCUGGCCUUGAAUGCCUCCAGGGAUGGGGCAUUCACAACCUCCUUGGGCAACCUGUCCCCCCAAAAAGAAGUUUACUUCAAGGUAUACAGAGUUUUGGCUUAGCUAUUGCUUCCACUGCAGGUUGAACCAGUGAGAUGCAGUGUCAUUAGGCACUUUGCCUUUAACAAGGCAAUUUCUUCCCAGGUAGUAGUUAUGACAACAGAACUUUCCUGGGUUUUCUUUCAUGCAAAGGGCCAUUUGGUGCCCAUGUGAUGCAUUCCUAACGCAGCUCUGACACACCAAGCAUCGCAGAAUGCUUAGCUGAUCCUUCAGCUUGAGGAAAGUAUCUAAGUCUCCUACUUCUGGGUUCAACGUAGUUCUUCUCAGCAGGACAGCACAGCAUAUCAGACUGCAGACACACUUUGAUGGGUUUUCUUUUACCACGAGGAAGGAAAAGGCUUCAACCUAUGUUUGUAAUAGAAAAUUGAGCACAUACGCACACUCAAUAAAUUAUUGCCCCACUUCCUGGCCCCACCACAAAGCCUUCUGAGCCAUCUCUCCUGCACUCAAAGACGUCUGAGCAGAAGGAGUUGGUGCUUUAUAUGAGCAUGGUGAGCAAAGCAGGGAAAAGCCAGAAAGCACCUCAAAAUUUAACACCAGUGAGUCCCUCUUACCUUCUCCUGCCCAGAUAAAUCUCUCACCCUCUCUUACUUCUUUUCCUCAGAAAACCUUUCUUCUGAUGUUAAUCCAGGUCUGAUAUCAGGCUCCUUUGAUGCACUGAAAUUCCCCAAAGAACAAUACUCAACUUUCGCACACAGCCCUUAUCUACGUGUAUGUAUUCCUCCUCUCUGCCUCCAAGGAACAGGUUCCUAUGAUAUUCCCCUGUUCAUCGAGGUCAUUUUCGUUCUUCAUCCAAUUUUCUCUUUGGAGAAGAGAGCCUGCAUCUGUUUCUUCAGACGUUCCUCCCACACCAUCUCAUAAAUAGGCAGCUAUGAAGUCUUUUCUCUGCACGAACACAGAUCUCUGGAGCGAGCACCCCAGUUAUCUUCAGGACUUACCCUUGGGGUAGAUGCUCCUGGUGAAGUCUAUGUUAGUUAAAGCAUGCGUGGCAAUUAGCAGCAUUAGGUCAACUUUUGAAGCCUCCACCCAACUUUCUACUAUCAGGAUUUCUUCUCCCAGAACUUCUGCGGAUAUAUCAAGAUGUAUCCUGCACAAGAACUGCAGCUGCAGCAAUCCACUGUAACCAUGCAAGAGCUUAGAGGACACUUUUUGCAGAUCUGAUUUCCCCUUGGCUGAAUCCAGCCCUCUGGAUAUGAAACUGCUCGAGGGUGAGAGCUCCUUGUGCCGGGCAAUGUGCCCUUGCUUUGAUGCACCAGCCACUACAAGGUUGCAAAGGAGGAAAACAAGGCUGUGUUUUGCCUAAUUACCAGACAGUGAAAACAAUUCUGAUGCUGCUGAGCCAGUAGUAGAGAGCCUGAUGAAUUUCCUAUGGUUUCUGCAAUUUGUCACGGCGCGGGUAUCGCUCCCUCACACACACACACCACCAGUUUGUUCCCCAGCAAAUCAGCCUUCGGCAGGGCAGAGCCCCGCUCACUGCCUUCCCG